UAUCCUAUAAGCGGAGGAAAAAGAAAAUAACAAUGAUUCCCCAGUAACGGCGAGUGAAGAGGGAAGAGCCCAAAUUUGGAAUCUGGCGUCUUUCAGGCGUCCGAGUUGUAAUCUGGAGAGGCCAUAUUCGUGUCGGACCGUAGCAAAGUCUGCUAUUAUGCAGCGCCAGAGAGGGUGUUAGCCCCGUUUGUACUAUGGAUCCCCGAUGCUUAGAGUAGGUCUUCAAAGAGUCGAGUUGUUUGGGAAUGCAGCUCUAAGAGGGUGGUAAAUUCCAUCUAAGGCUAAAUAACGGCGAGAGACCGAUAGCGCACAAGUACCGUGAGGGACAGAUGAAAAGCACUUUGGAAAGAGGGUGAAAAAGUACGUGAAAUCACUGAAAGGGAAGCGCUUGAGGUUAGACGUGCAUUGUAUGAUUCAGCCAAUCUUUGGAGAGGUGUAUUUCGUACUAUUGCAGGCCAGCGUCAGUUUUGUGUGCUGGAUAAGGGUAUAGGGAAUGUAGCAGUAGCUUCGGCUGCUGUAUUAUAGACCUUUACUGGAUACAGCAUGCGGGACUGAGGAACGCAGCGUGCCUUUAUGGCCAAUCCUGCGGGAUUGUGUACGCUUAGGAUGCUGGCAUUAAUAGCCUUAAACGACCCGUCUUGAAACACGGACCAAGGAGUCUAACAUGCUUGCAAGUAUGUGGGUGUCAAGCCCUUGUGCGUAAUGAAAGUAAACGUAGGUGGGAGCCCUUCGCGGGGUGCACCAUCGACCGGCUUGAAACUACGUGUGAAAAGUCUGAGUAGGAGCAAGUAUGUCGGGACCCGAAAGAUGGUGAACUAUGCCUGAAUAGGGUGAAGCCAGAGGAAACUCUGGUGGAGGCUCGUAGGCGGUUCUGACGUGCAAAUCGAUCGUCGAAUUUUGGGUAUAGGGGCGAAAGACUAAUCG
rnacentral:rRNA from 1 species